UACGUAGGGUGCGAGCGUUGUCCGGAAUUAUUGGGCGUAAAGGGCUCGUAGGUGGUCUGUCGCGUCGAAAGUGAAAACCCAGGGCUUAACCCUGGGCCUGCUUCCGAUACGGGCAGACUAGAGGUAUGCAGGGGAGAACGGAAUUCCUGGUGUAGCGGUGAAAUGCGCAGAUAUCAGGAGGAACACCGGUGGCGAAGGCGGUUCUCUGGGCAUUACCUGACGCUGAGGAGCGAAAGUGUGGGGAGCGAACAGG
rnacentral:rRNA from 1 species